GAAACUCUUUCACAAAGUCUGGGUGUUGUUCAAUAGCCCAGUCAUGUCCAGCUCUUUGUGACCCCAUGGACUGCGGCACACCAGGCUUCCCUGUCCUUCACCAUCUCUAAGUCUGGAUACUAGACCCUUAUCAGUGUCCCAUUAGAAAAAACAAAGUAGAUGAAGGAAAAGGAAGAAAGAGGAAGAAGAGUGGAGGAAGCAGAGAAGGAGGAAGAAGAAGAAAGAGAAAAAGAAACUCUCUCCAGUGUGAGAAAACCCUGGCAUGGAAAAUGCUUAUGUAGCAUCUUAUUCAAAGUAAAUGAAUAGCUGAGUUGAAGCACAAUUCCGGAGGAACAAAAUCUUAACCAUCAAUGUGCUGACAGGUCUACAUGGAGCUGGAGACGUCCAGAAGAGUCGAAGUCUAGAGGAGAGCUACACACACAGCAUGCAAGAGGAGGUCCUCUUGUAGAGUAAGUUUUCGCUUGUAGGGAGUCUCUUUGCAGAGCCUCAAAGAGCAGUCAUGAGUCUGAAAACAUCUGAGUGGCCAACUUGUAGGAG